rnacentral:rRNA from 1 species
AACGAACGUUGGCGGCGUGGAUUAGGCAUGCAAGUCGAACGAAUCCCAGUUUUGUAGCAAUACCGAGCUGGGGGAAGUGGCGAAAGGGGCAGUAAUGUAUGGGUAACCUACCCGGGGGUCGUGGAUAGCCGUCCUAACGGACGGGUAAUACACGGCGAUUCGGCGGAGCGGCAUCGCUCUGUCGGGAAAGAACCUCGCCUCCGGAGGGGCUCAUAUCGUAUUAGCUAGUUGGUGGGGUAAUGGCCCACCAAGGCGAAGAUGCGUAGCGGGUGUGAGAGCACGACCCGCGCCACUGGCACUGAGACACUGGCCAGACACCUACGGGUGGCUGCAGUCGAGGAUCUUCGGCAAUGAGCGCAAGCUUGACCGAGCGACGCCGCGUGGACGAUGAAGGCCUUCGGGUUGUAAAGUCCUGUCGAGGGGGAUCAAGGGAAACUUGAGUGAUCCCUGGAGGAAGCACGGGCUAAGUUCGUG